rnacentral:rRNA from 1 species
CVMASUACNUGCGGGUGAGUAAUGCCUAGGAAAUUGCCCUGAUGUGGGGGAUAACCAUUGGAAACGAUGGCUAAUACCGCAUGAUGCCUACGGGCCAAAGAGGGGGACCUUCGGGCCUCUCGCGUCAGGAUAUGCCUAGGUGGGAUUAGCUAGUUGGUGAGGUAAGGGCUCACCAAGGCGACGAUCCCUAGCUGGUCUGAGAGGAUGAACAGCCACACUGGAACUGAGACACGGUCCAGACUACUACGGGAGGCAGCAGUGGGGAAUAUUGCACAAUGGGCGCAAGCCUGAUGCAGCCAUGCCGCGUGUGUGAAGAAGGCCUUCGGGUUGUAAAGCACUUUCAGUCGUGAGGAAGGUAGUGUAGUUAAUAGCUGCAUUAUUUGACGUUAGCGACAGAAGAAGCACCGGCUAACUCCGUGCCAGCAGCCGCGGUAAUACGGAGGGUGCGAGCGUUAAUCGGAAUUACUGGGCGUAAAGCGCAUGCAGGUGGUUUGUUAAGUCAGAUGUGAAAGCCCGGGGCUCAACCUCGGAAUAGCAUUUGAAACUGGCAGACUAGAGUACUGUAGAGGGGGGUAGAAUUUCAGGUGUAGCGGUGAAAUGCGUAGAGAUCUGAAGGAAUACCGGUGGCGAAGGCGGCCCCCUGGACAGAUACUGACACUCAGAUGCGAAAGCGUGGGGAGCAAACAGGAUUAGAUACCCUGGUAGUCCACGCCGUAAACGAUGUCUACUUGGAGGUUGUGGCCUUGAGCCGUGGCUUUCGGAGCUAACGCGUUAAGUAGACCGCCUGGGGAGUACGGUCGCAAGAUUAAAACUCAAAUGAAUUGACGGGGGCCCGCACAAGCGGUGGAGCAUGUGGUUUAAUUCGAUGCAACGCGAAGAACCUUACCUACUCUUGACAUCCAGAGAACUUUCCAGAGAUGGAUUGGUGCCUUCGGGAACUCUGAGACAGGUGCUGCAUGGCUGUCGUCAGCUCGUGUUGUGAAAUGUUGGGUUAAGUCCCGCAACGAGCGCAACCCUUAUCCUUGUUUGCCAGCGAGUAAUGUCGGGAACUCCAGGGAGACUGCCGGUGAUAAACCGGAGGAAGGUGGGGACGACGUCAAGUCAUCAUGGCCCUUACGAGUAGGGCUACACACGUGCUACAAUGGCGCAUACAGAGGGCGGCCAACUUGCGAAAGUGAGCGAAUCCCAAAAAGUGCGUCGUAGUCCGGAUUGGAGUCUGCAACUCGACUCCAUGAAGUCGGAAUCGCUAGUAAUCGUGGAUCAGAAUGCCACGGUGAAUACGUUCCCGGGCCUUGUACACACCGCCCGUCACACCAUGGGAGUGGGCUGCAAAAGAAGUAGGUAGU